AAAAAGGCAAACCGUGGGUUCCCGUGCCAACGUUUGACUGUCCGUCUUAUAUGAAAUUUUUUUUAUAAUUAGUAUUUUCGUUGUUGUUAGAUAAUAAAACAUGAUUAAUACUUUAUGCGUAACUUAUUUUUUUAUUUUUUUUAUAAUUUUUUUAAAUAAGAUGAACGGUCAAACGUUGGACACGGAAAUCAGGGUUUGUCUUUUU
rfam:Oryza nivara chromosome 1, whole genome shotgun sequence.